UUCGACCUACGGGGGGCAGCAGUGAGGAAUAUUGGUCAAUGGUCGGGAGACUGAACCAGCCAAGCCGCGUGAGGGAUGAAGGUACAGAGUAUCGUAAACCUCUUUUGUCAGGGAACAAAGGCGGGGACGUGUCCCCGGAUGAGUGUACCUGAAGAAAAAGCAUCGGCUAACUACGUGCCAGCAGCCGCGGUAGUACGUAGGGGGCAAGCGUUAUCCGGAUUUACUGGGUGUAAAGGGAGCGUAGACGGCGGCGCAAGCCAGAUGUGAAAGCCCGGGGCCCAACCCCGGGCCUGCAUU
rnacentral:rRNA from 1 species